CUUCAAGACUGUCUUGGUGUCCUUGUUAGUUUUUUGGUGAUGUGGACACCAAGGAACUUGAAGCUCUGAACCUGCUCCACUACAGCCCCGACGAUGAGAAUGGGGGUGUGCUCGGUCCUCCUUUUCCUGUAGUCCACAAUCGGCAAACUAAAUGAUGGUGUUGGAGUUGUGCCUGGUCGUGCAGUCAUGAGUAAACAGGGAGUACAGGAGGGGACUGAGCACGUACCCCUGAGGGGCCCCUGUGUUGUCGGAACAGUGUGGCGGAUGUGAUGUUACCUACCCUUACCACCUGGAGGUGUGGGGAAAUGCCUUCAAAUCCCAAGACUGGAUCAGAAGGUUGCUUCUACAUCUGCAUUGCUUGCUGUUUUGGGUUUUAGGCUGGGUUUCUGUAUAGCACUUUGUGACACCUGCUGAUGUAAAAAGGGCUUUAUAAAUAGAAUCGAUUGAUUAAAAACCGGCCACUAGUAGCAACAGUGAGCGCUAUAACCAUCAAGUAGGUUUGGGUUUUCCUAGGGUGUUGUGCACGUGGGUGGUAGAUGUGGUUAAUCCCAUAACUCUGGAUCAGAAGGUUGCAUGUUUAAUCCCAGUCAUGGACACUGUUUUAACCAUAUCCCAAACCUUAACCCUUUAACCUUUAACCUUUCUUAAUGAGUGACUAAACUUAACCCUUUAACCAUUAACCUUUAACCAUUCUUAAUGAGUUACUAAACAUAAACCUUAACUUCAAAAUUUGAUAUUUGGAGCAACUUCGAAAUCUGACGUUUGGAGAUAGUGGAUGAACAUCUAAUUCUGCAGUGAGACUGUGAGAGCUUGUUGCUAACACACCUGAUUCAACUCAACAAAGGCAUGGAGGGAGAUCUGUCAGUUGAAUCAGGUAUGUAUGCUAGUCCAGGGCUGGAACGAAAGUGUGCACCACCUUGAGACCUCCGGGAAUGGAUUGAGAUACUAUUUUUUGAAUUGUCAGCAUGCAGCCUAUUUUUACACAAAUAGGCCACAGUAGACAAAGACACACAAGCACACACGCUAUCAGCAGCCAGUUUUGUUUCAACGUCCCUGCCUCCCAUCAGGUUACCUGUCAACCACAUUACAACCACAUGCCUCCAUUCUAUCAAGUUACCCAUCAACCACAUAACAAGCCCUGCCUCCCUUCCAUCAGGUUACCUAUCAACCACAUAACAAGCCCUGCCUCUGCUACUUAUUACCUAUUAACACCAAUAAAAACCACAGAGGACAGUGCUACUAUGGGCUAAAGGCUAACCCAUAAAUACUACUCCCUUUUACGAGGAAACCCACACACACACGCACACACACACACACACACA
ensembl:lncRNA